AUGCAAGUGUAAGUUCAUGCCGUAAACGAAUGGUGAAACCGCGAAUGGCUCAGGAACCGGACCUAAUCCUCGGGACCGUAUUCCUCUUUAACGCGAGGAGAGUGGAUAACUGUGGCAAUUCUAGAGCUAAUACAUGCAACCGAAGCCGCGAUCGCAGGUCGCACCCGGGCGUCGGGUUUGCAGAAAACGGCGUUCGGCGCCAUUCGGCGUCGCCCGUUGUUGGCGUCGUCGCUGGUUGCCGUUCGUUGCCGGCGCCCGCUCGGCCGGAACUCGGCGGGUUCGCGCUCGCCCCGGUCGCGACGAUACGGUCGGCCUUUCGCAUUGGUCGCGGCGCAAAUAUUAGACUGAGACCGACGCGUACGGGCCGUGGCGGUGUUGCGUCGGCCGUCGUCGCCGCUUCGCGCGGUGGCGCGCGCCUCGCUGGCCGCUGCGGCUUCCUCACGCCCUUCGAUUUUGGUGACUCUGGAUAACUGUCAGUACGAUCGCACGGGCUAGUUAUAUCGACUAGCCUUCUGUUGGCGACGGGUCCCCCGCGAGUCCGCCCUAUCAACUGUCGACGGCCCGGUAAGUGCCGACCGUGGUGGCAACGGGUAACGGGGAAUCAGGGUUCGAUUCCGGAGAGGGAGCAUGCGAAACGGCUACCACA
rnacentral:rRNA from 1 species